GACGAACGCUGGCGGCGUGCCUAAUACAUGCAAGUAGAACGCUGAAGGAGGAGCUUGCUUCUCUGGAUGAGUUGCGAACGGGUGAGUAACGCGUAGGUAACCUGCCUGGUAGCGGGGGAUAACUAUUGGAAACGAUAGCUAAUACCGCAUAAUAGCAGUUAUUGCAUGAUAACUGUUUGAAAGGUGCAAUUGCACCACUACCAGAUGGACCUGCGUUGUAUUAGCUAGUUGGUGGGGUAACGGCUCACCAAGGCGACGAUACAUAGCCGACCUGAGAGGGUGAUCGGCCACACUGGGACUGAGACACGGCCCAGACUCCUACGGGAGGCAGCAGUAGGGAAUCUUCGGCAAUGGACGGAAGUCUGACCGAGCAACGCCGCGUGAGUGAAGAAGGUUUUCGGAUCGUAAAGCUCUGUUGUAAGAGAAGAACGAGUGUGAGAGNGGAAAGUUCACAC
rnacentral:rRNA from 1 species